rnacentral:rRNA from 1 species
CAGUCGCCGCGGUAAUACGUAGGUGGCAAGCGUUGUCCGGAAUUAUUGGGCGUAAAGGGCUCGCAGGCGGUUUCUUAAGUCUGAUGUGAAAGCCCCCGGCUCAACCGGGGAGGGUCAUUGGAAACUGGGAAACUUGAGUGCAGAAGAGGAGAGUGGAAUUCCACGUGUAACGGUGAAAUGCGUAGAGAUGUGGAGGAACACCAGUGGCGAAGGCGACUCUCUGGUCUGUAACUGACGCUGAGGAGCGAAAGCGUGGGGAGCGAACAGGAUUAGAGACCCGCGUAGUCCCUGUCUCUUAUAA